UCCUAGUCUACCUGCGACCAACUCAACC
rnacentral:piRNA from 1 species